GUAUUGGAGAGCAAAGGAACUGAAUGCUACGCAUUGCGGAUUUGGAUACCAUGUCUGCUGAGCUCAGGACAGUAAUGCUUCCAAGCUAGAGGCAUUCAAGGAGUGGCCCAGAGAACAUGUCAUUCAGGGCCUGGAAGAUUUCCAUCAGCAUUCAGGGGUCUACAGUCCUACAGAGCUGUAAUACAGCCUACGGAAACGAGUUUGAAAAUGGAAAACUAUGCUGAAUAAACUGCUUAUGACCCAACAUCAUUCCAAAGCAGAGUUGAGACUAUGGUAUAGCCGUGCACAGUGUAAGGCAUGAAGGUUGGACGAGGAUCCAGGUUCUGCAGGGGAUGGGGAUGCUGAGUAAGUGAGACACGUUUCUACAGCUUCUAGCCUGCCCAGUGCCUGCAAUGACAUCGCUGUUGCUGAUGAAGACUUACUGUUCUCAAGUGCUUAUCACACUGGGAGGAUGGCAACUGGGCAAAGCAGACACAGAAGGACAUCAUGCUGCUGACUCGUGGCUUCAGACUCUCAGUCUCCUGUAUUCCUUCCUCCUGCAAUUGCAGGGGGUGCACAAAACAUUUGCAGGCAUGAACGCAGUGAAGCAAAUAGUUGUUCUUAGGAACAAUUUCCCUUGGAGUCUUUCACAGACACCUGGAGCAAACUGGUGCUCAGGGGCACAAGGUUCCAGCUAAAAGAAACAGAAAAGUUCACAGGCUUUCCAUAUGUCCUCUGGAAAAAAACAGAAAGCCUCAAAGAUUGUUCUAAUGUUUGGACUUCAAGUUCACAGGAGUCAGCUGUAACUCAGAGGCCGUGUGCUCAAGCCAUGAAGAUGCCUGGAAUUGAGAAGACAAGAGAUCAGUUUGUCCUCUUAUCGGGAUACGUCAGAAAUUAGAGAGACCCUGGCAAUCACAGCUUCCACCUCCUCAUUUUACAAAUGAGCAACUAGGCUCAGAGUACAGAAGUGGCUUUCCCAGGGUCACACAGCCAGCUUGUGACAGAGUCAGGAUUCAAGUACCAUCUCCUGACUUCUCCAUUGCACCAGACGUCGAUAGAACACAGAGAACCUAAAAGAAGAAAGAAAAAAAAAUAGAGCUUUUGGGAAUAUAUUGGGCUUCUGGUUUUCAAGGACAAUUUUAUGAUAAGUAGCAAUGAUGCCUCAAAAGCUCUGGUAGCUAGCUUGAAUGAACUUAUGUAAUAAACAUUUAUCACAGAACAUGUGUCAUCAAACACCUGCCAGUUCUGAGCGUUGGCACCAAAGCUGCUUUCAUUGUCAAAGAAAAGAGGGGGAAAGGAACUUGGCUGAACAAAGCUGGCAGACGUUUAUACUAGAAAAUUUAGAGAUGUCAGGAGCAAGGGAGCACCAGUGGUAGAAGAACCUGCCUCCCCUGGCUCCAUCAAAGGCCACAGGCCCAUGAGAAUCACCCGGCCUGCUCUGAGCAGCACACUCGGAGGCCACAGCCACGCACAGGAAAGUGAGAGGAAGUGGAAACGUGCGAGCAGAGGGCUCAAAGCGACGGGCUCACCACCGGAAAAAAAAAAUAAAAAUAAACACGCUCAGAAAUAGUGUAACUGAUAUGCAAAGAAGAUCAAAACAAGGGUUUUAAAAUAUCUUGGCUGCUUUAGAGGAGAUGGGGGUGGUAAUUAAAGCGAGGUUGCAAAUGCGUGUUAGGGGAGUGGGGCGGUUAGGUGGAUGGUUCACUGAAGCCUGCCAGGACAUGGGAGCCUGGGAGCCCAAGGGUAUUUCAGAUGAAAAUGUGGCACUUAUAUGUGGAAUGUAAAAGAAAGUUGAACUCAUAGAAGCAGAGAAUAAAAUGGUUAUUCUCAGAGGCUGCCAGGUGGUGGGACUGGGGAGAUGUUGGUCAAAGGACACAUUUUAAUAAAUUCAAGAGAUUCAUUGCCCAUCACGGUGACUAUAGUUAACAUCAAUACAUUUUAUAUUG
rnacentral:lncRNA from 10 species